UUCCGGUUGAUCCUGCCGGAGGCUACCGCUAUUGGAGUUCGAUUAAGCCAUGCGAGUCGCGAGAAAUUAGAUUCUCGGCGUACCGCUCAGUAACACGUGGGUAACCUGCCCUAUGCUGGAUAAUAACCUCGGGAAACUGAGAAUAAUGAUCCAUAGUUCACUACGCCUGGAACGGUGAGUGGAUGAAAGCUCCGGCGGCAUAGGAUGGGCCUGCGGCGUAUCAGGUUGUAGGGGGUGUAACGUACCCUCUAGCCCUCUACGCGUACGGGUGUUGGGAGACAUAGCCCGGAGAUGGAUUCUGAGACACGAAUCCAGACCCUACGGGGUGCAGCAGGCGCGAAAACUUGGCAAUGCGAGAAAUCGUGACCAGGGAACUCCAAGUGCAUCGGGUAAGACCGGUGCUUUUCUUGACUCUAAAUAGGUCUUGGAAUAAGGGGUGGGUAAGGACGGUGCCAGCCGCCGCGGUAAUACCGGCGCCUCAAGUGGUAGUCGCUUUUAUUGGGCCUAAAACGUCCGUAGCCGGUCUGAUACAUUCGUGGGUAAAUCAACCAGCUUAACUGGUUGAAUUCUGCGAGGACGGUCAGACUUGGGACCGGGAGAGGUGUGGGGUACGCUCAGGGUAGGGGUAAAAUCCUGUCAUCCUGAGCGGACCACCUGUUGCGAAGGCGCCACACUAGAACGGAUCCGACGGUCAGGGACGAAGCCUAGGGCACGAACCGGAUUAGAUACCCGGGUAGUCCUAGGUGUAAACGCUGUGGACUUGAU
rnacentral:rRNA from 1 species